UACAAACCGUCAUUUCAAAAGCAACACAAUUGAGUUCACCCCUACCGGAGUGCAAUAGGCCUUUGCGGCGAAACCCGGCUGUCAUCGACUUUAUUUGACAAGCACACGCACACUGAAGCUCAGCCCGAAACCAACCGCCAAACGUUCAACAGCCGCGCAAUUUGCCUGCCAGGCAGGUGAAAGUCUCCCAUUUUGAGAUUUUGGUCGACUCUUGCUGCUAGAAACACGUGUAUUCGGUGUGGCUGGAGUACAGGGCCACGAUAAUUGGAAUCAGAACAGGCCGGAGUUCGUUUUUUUGAGGCCCACUUUGCCGAAAAGCUGACCACGUAACACGAGCACGAGCAAGAAGAACCGAAUCUACGAAUUGCCGGCGGCAUAAGCGGUCCUGAGCAGCAUCCGACCAUCCAGACAAGAUCCUCGUUAAUCGCAGAUUGAAAACACGAUCGACCCGGGUAGAAUCGUCCGGACAGGAAAAUUGUGCCGAAAGAAGCCCCUGAACAGGGGCUUUUCUUUUUCCUUGUUUCGGUCUCGAUUGGCAGAUCAGCGAGCUGCGGUAAAUCCGGCAGGGAAUCGAAUCUCAAGGAGGUGAAAUUUGUGUGCGCUGCCAGAGCACAACGCGGACAAGGCAGGCUACGGUUGCUUCGAGACGGGAGCCCCGGAGUGCAAGUAGCUGGAGACUGGGAGAAACUCGGAGACGUCGGCAACGGAAACGGCAGGACCAAGUCCCUCGGAGGGAUCCCAUCCAGCAUCCCGGUCGCGCUGGACGGCCAGAGGGGUCCCCAGCGGAGGGACUGGUGUUUGUGUGCAAAGUUGGUGAGCGGCUUGCGAGGAUUGAGACGGCAUGAAUAUCGCUGUGCAGAAAACCUUAGGGGGACGCCCCGUAGAGUCGAACCGUGAGUAGAAAUUACGAGAAAAUUAUGUUAGCCUGUAAGAAGAAAGAAGUAGAGAAGUAGAAGUAGGAUGGAGAGAGUAUAGAUGAAGAGAUAAGAAGGCGGUAGGAGGAAGAUUAGGGCAAAUGCCCCAAAUAUAUGUAUUGAUUUGAAAAAAAAAAAAAAAAAAAAAAGUAUUGCGAGUUUCCGGUAGCGGGUAGAGCAGAACUACCAAAGUGGACACAAAGCAAACAAAACUGGAGGGCUAAAGCACCAACAAGACAAAUAAAGCCACAAAUCUCAAAAAACUAAAUCUAUUCUAAACCUCAAUAACGGUAGCGAAUCCUACUAAAAGUUGUCUGAACGCCAACGAGUCUUGGCAAAUUGUCCUAUAAUCAGAUUCUUUACUACACUAAACUAACUCUGUUGAUCCUACAUUGAAUUGGAUUACAAAUGAUUCUCGCGAAAAAUCAAAUGAAUCCCACACUAAACAAUCAAAUCGAUACUUGUCGUAAUCUCAAAUCUGCAUUCGUAUCAUUGUGGGUUUUUUAGCUGGGCGCCAGUGUAACAAGCCCCACGUUACAAUUAUUUUAUACAAACAUAAAAAUACUCAAUCAACAUGAAACAAAUAACAAAUUAAAAUAAUGCACGUUCUCUCCUGGUGCCCUGAGAGACGGCUUGAUGGUGCCCACUACGGGAAAUGACGAGGUUUCAUAUAAGAUUUUGGUCCAUCACACAAAUCCCGCAAUAUAUAUUUUUAUUGCGUAUUACGCAUUUCGUCUACAGCAAACAGUUUGCUGUAUUCAUAGCUGAGCUUUUGUAUAGGAUUCUUAUCCUAUUUGGGCACCUCGAAUCAAUUAAUGCCAUUUGGCAUCAACGAUUCGAUGUCUGUGUCUGGAACAAACUUGGGACAAAUCACCACUAAAUAUUUUAUUGCCUACUUUCAGGCUUUCCUCUUCAGUCCAGACACUGAAUCAACAAAUAAAACAUACA